AUCCGGCUGAUGAGUCCCAAAUGAGACGAAAUGAGCGUCCUGGAU
rnacentral:hammerhead_ribozyme from 1 species